rnacentral:rRNA from 1 species
GACGAACGCUGGCGGCGUGCUUAACACAUGCAAGUCGAACGAAGAGCGACGGCUGCUUGCUUCUAUCACUCUUAGUGGCGAAUGGGUGAGUCACGAGUAACCAACCUGCCCCUUAGAGGGGGCCUACAGUUGGUAACGACUGCUACUACCACAUACGCUCUCAUCUUGGUAUCGAGGAUGGAUGAUAGGUGGCCUCUACAUGUAAGCCGUCACUGCAGGAGGGGGUUGCGUCGGAUUCGCUAGAUGGCGGGGUCACGGCGCCGCAAGGCGAUGGUCAGUAGCCGGUCGGAGAGGAUGAGCAGCCACACUGGGACGGAGACAGGGCCCAGACUCCUACGGGAGGCAGCAGUAGUGAAUCUUCCGCAAUGGACGAAAGUCUGACGGAGCAACGCCGCGUGAGUGAUGACGGCCUUCGGGUUGGGAAGCUCUGUUAUUCGGGACGAAAGGCCUUCUUGCUGAGAGUGAGAAGGAUUGACGGUACCGGAAUAGAAAGCCACGGCUAACUACGUG